AAAACCAUUAUUAUUUAUUACCAAUCAAUAUUUAUAUUGUUGGGUAAACAAAUUUCGGAACAUCUUUCGUCUUGUUAAUGUAGCUGGCAAGCAAAGCGGCGUUAUGAAUAAAUUUAAGUUGCUAUAGAAACAAUGUUCUGUUGAUUGUCACUUGUGUCAUAGAAAAUAAAAAGAGCUAUCCAUUGUGUAUUCCUACUGUUGUAAUAAAUUAAUUUCGUGGACAAAUCUAUCUUCUAUUUUUCUACUGUAAAAUCACACUCAGCCACACGCUCACACACGUUUUAAAGUAAAUAAAGACCAUAUUAACGAUGUUAACAUGAUGAGACAUCGAUUUUAUGGAAUGGAGGAGAAGAUUUAACAGCUAGAAAUUAACAAAAAUCCUGCAAGAGCAUCGAGAUCUCGCUUUUGGCGAGUGGAAGUCCAAAGGCAAAGUGCAGCGGUUUGCAGUUCUUAGCCUCACUUUUUUGGACCUAACAAGACAGGAAAAGAAUAGUCAAAGAGGAAACCCGAGUAGCCAGAUGAUAAUAUAUGAAACCAUGAGCAA